rnacentral:piRNA from 1 species
UCGAAACUGAGAAAUGAAGGGUUUGUGAGC